AAACAUGAACAUAAGACUACGAUUUGCAUACCCCAAACAAAAUAACAAAACCCAGAAGAUAAAAACCCCAAAACAUGACUAAAUUAAUCCAAAUCUGCAUGCAUUCUUCAAGCGAGGACCUUUGGUGAAGAAGAGUCGAGGAGGCCACUCCAUAGCCAAACCAGCGAUUGCAGUUCCCUCCUAUAGUGUAUAACCCAAUCAAACUACGAACAUAGCUUCAUA
rnacentral:lncRNA from 1 species